rnacentral:rRNA from 1 species
GACGGGGGGGGCAAGUGUUCUUCGGAAUGACUGGGCGUAAAGGGCACGUAGGCGGUGAAUCGGGUUGAAAGUGAAAGCCGCCAAAAACUGGCGGAAUGCUCUCGAAACCAAUUCACUUGAGUGAGACAGAGGAGAGUGGAAUUUCGUGUGUAGGGGUGAAAUCCGGAGAUCUACGAAGGAACGCCAAAAGCGAAGGCAGCUCUCUGGGUCCCUACCGACGCUGAGGUGCGAAAGCAUGGGGAGCGAACAGG